rnacentral:lncRNA from 1 species
UCAGUGGUUCUGGGUCUUGGCUGCACUUUCUAAUUACCCAGGAGCCGUUUGAAUGUACCCUGCCUGGAGCCCACGCCCAGAAGUUCUGAUUUAAUUGGUCUGGGGUGGGGCCUGGACUUGGGUGUUUUUUAAAAAACUCUCCAGAUAGAUCCAACGUGCGGCGCAAGUCAAAGACUCCAGCUCUAACCUGAAAAGUUGUUUUGUUCCCACAAACAUUUCCUGAGCGUUUACAAGGUACCGAAUUGUGUGUGGCUGGUGGGAGAGGAGGGCGGCGGAGGAACACAUGGAAAACCAGGUGAGGGCCCGGCCACCCAAGUUCCUGAUGGCCUCGAACGGAGGAGCAGAACACAACAGGAUUCCGCCACCACGAGUGAAGCGAGCAUUGGGGCUGGAAAUGUGGGUGCUCUGGAAGGAAAGGUGAAGGAGCCAUUGGUUCUGAGGCUUACAUCGGAAGCUGGGGUCACGAAGCAGAGCAGCCUCCAGGACGGUGAUGAGUCAUGGCAGCGGCAGCGCCUGCCUCCCCCUUCUGUGGGCUUCCACCAGCACCCGGGGUCGGCUGUCAGCCGUGUCAGUGUGCGCUCUGACAUCUGGGACUAGCAGCGGACCAGCCCGCUCUUGGCAUGAUCUGCACAUUUCUGUCGGCUUAGCUUUGAGCCUGACGGCCGGCCCUCCCGGAGAUUUUAGCUGCUUGUAAGAAUUUCCUUUGCUGCUUAAAUCAGAAAUCUACUUACAUCAGGGAAAUGCAAAUUCAAACCUCAAUGAGAUAGAUACCCUUUCAUGUCCCCGAGAUGAGGAGAAACAGAUAUCCCUCCCCUGCUGGAGUGGGUAUAAAUUGGGAUGGAUACCUUGGAGGACAAUUUGUUAAUGUCUAAAGAAUUGGAAUGCAGGUACCUUAUGACCCGGAAAUUCCACUUCUAGUCCUGUUCUCUAAACCACAGCUCGCGGAGACAACUGCAAGACUCUUCCUUAGGGCACUAUUUAUAACACCAACCCCGCGCCCCCCCCAAACAACCUACUUUGAGGUCAGUGUGGAAUGAAUAAUAAAUUGCAGUAUAUUCAUACAAUGUAUCAACUAGAACAGCACAUACCAAGAUGGAUAGAUCUUGAAAGCGUCACUUUGGGUGAAAAGGACAGGACGUUGCAGAAGGAUAUGCAUAGUGUACGACUGAUAUGCAUUUGAAGACAUAACACGCAAACACAGAAGAGGAGGGGUAAAACACAGAUAAGGUGGUGGCCAUACCCAUGUUAAUAUCCUGGUUGUCAUGUGACAUUGUAGCUUUGCAUCCCUAGGGGCAACUGGGCAAAGAGUAUCAUUUCACAGAAUUGCACAAUCUACAGCGAAAUCAAUAAAACUUCAUUAAAAGAUACCAAACAAUGUAUAUAUAACUUACAGACACAUGGUGGCUUCUUCUGAGGGGAGGAGAGAAAACGGGAUUUACGAAAGACAGAACGGAGGCUUCAAAUCUUUCUUUUUUCUUAGAAAGAUCUUGAGGCAAAUAUGGCAAAAUGUUAACAUUUAAAAAAUCUGGAUGUAGGUGAAUGAGUGUUUGUAUACCUUUCUUUGCAUUAAAAAAUGGCCGAAAGGUUCAAUGAGAUACUGUUCAUCAAUUAUUUAAGGCAGCGCCUGGCUCAUGGCAGGUGCGCAGUGCAUCUCAGAGUGCUCGAUAAUCCCCGAUCCUAUUAGCCAGGAGGGUAAGGGCUGCUGGUGUUUGGCAUAGCUCCAGAGAAGUGUAUUUUUCUUCAACUCAUCCCCCAAUUUUCCCCCUCUGCUGAGGGAUAUAUCAUCACAAACUCUACUUUCCAAUUCUCAUCACUCAUCUUCAUGAAGGACCACAGUGAAGGCAUUACUCUCGAGGUCCCAACACGAUGGAGCGGAGGGGAGGGGAGCACAGUCUGAGGCCAAGCUGCCGGCUGGAUGGGGCUGGAUGCCUCCGCCGUACACGGGGACACCAGCAGCCCUGCCUCAUAGGGUCAUCCUGAGGACCAAGCGAGCUAAAAUGUGUGGCAUCUCAGAACACAGCCUGACAGCGGGGGUUCUGGUUCCCGCAGGGCACAGCUGGGACCAAGGCGGAAACGCUCCCCACCCUGUGGACCCCGUGAUCUUGUCUGAAAGUCAGCAUUUCUGACCCACGUUACAGCUGAGGAAACAGACUCAGAGAACUUGCCCACUUAUGGCACUUGUCCCGGGGCCCAGGGAGGUCAACAAGGACUGUCAGAUCCCUCCCCCGGCCCUGCGUUUGAAGAAGGUCAACAUCUGAGGAGAGAGAGUCAAGCUGGUGGUUGGCUGAAGGCAGAAGGGGGGCUUGGCGGAGUGAGAUGGGGGAAGUUUGGAGGAUCUGGGCCACAUUUGAUCCUCUGGGUCCAUCUUUCCCUCUUCCCUCCCCUCCCAGCUCUGCGAGCUUAGGGACAGCCCCGUUCAGAUAAAACAUCCUGGAGAAAUGUCUGAGAAACUCAUCGGAGAGAAAAUUCCUUCUCAGGCUUCCCACUAUGUUAGGAAUUUCAGAAGGAAGAUGAGUAAAAAAGCAACCCCAGUUCAUUACUGAAAUGGGUGGGCCGAGAUCGCCAUCUGCAGGCGGCAAGUUUCUUCUGCCGACUUGAAUUCUUUCCAUGAUCCCAAAACCCAAAGGGCACCCCCAGAAAUCACCUCCUCCAGCCUCCACGCUUCACCCGAGGGAAGAUCAAGUCCCCGUCAACUCAGCAUCCCACUCAAGAGCACCCCGCCGGCUGGCAGGAGAAUACUUCCAAAAAAGAUGACUUUCAGUAAUUUUUUUUCUUUUUAAUUCAUUUUAUUGUGGUAAAGUACACACAAGAAAAAACUUACCAUCUUAACCAUUUUUUUAAAGAUUUUAUUUUUCCUUUUUCUCCCCAAAGCCCCCCAGUACAUAGUUGUGUAUUUUUAGUUGUGGGUCCUUCUAGUUGUGGCAUGUGGGACACCCCCUCAGCAUGGCUUGAGGAGCGGUGCCACAUCCACACCCAGAAUUCGAACUGGCGAAAUUCGAACUGGGCCUCCGAAGCAGAGUGCGCUAACUUAACCACUUGGUCACAGGCCGGCCCCUUAACCAUGUUCAAGUGUUCAGUUCUGCGGCAUUGAGCACAUUCACGUUGUUGUGCAGCCAUCCCCAGCGUCCAUCUCCAGGACUUUUUCAUCUUCCCAAACUGAAACUCGGUCCCUUUUAAAUUAACUCCUCAGACCCCCAUCCCCAGCCGCCAGCACCCACCCUUCUACUUUCUGUGUCUGUGAAUUUGACUGCUCCAGGUCCCUCACAUAGUAGAAUCAUAUAACGUUUGUCCCUCUGUGACUGGCUUAUUUCACUUAGCACAGUGUCCUCAAGGUUCAUGGACGCUGUAGCAGGUGUCAGAAUCUCUUUCCUCUUUAAGGCUGAACCAUAUUCCGUGGUAUGGACACACUACAUUUUAUUUACCCAUUCGUCUGUCAACAAACACCUGGGUUACUUCCACUUUUUGGAUAUUGUGAAUAAUGCUGCUAUGAACAUUGGUGUGAAAAUAUCUAAGUCUCUAUAAUUUUUAAUGAACUUUUUUUUUUGGAAUUACUUCAGAUUUACAAAAGAGUUGCAAAGAUAAUUCAGAGAGUUCUCGUAAACCCUAAGGUUCACAUCUUACAUGACCAUGUCACGUUUGCCACAACCAAGAAAUUAACAUUAGUACAUUACUAGUCACGAAAUUCCAGACACUAUUUUAAUUUCACCUGCUUUUCCACUAAUGUCUCAUUUCUGUUCCAGGAUGCAACCCAGACUGCUACAUUGUACCCAGUCAAUGAUUUUUUUAAACUGAUAAUUAUGAACACUACACAGCAAUGUGGAAAAAGAACAUUGGUGAUACAGUGUUAAGAGGGGGGCGGGGGGGGGGAAGUAAAUUAGAAGAUUGUAUCUGUGCGAAGCCAGAUAUUGAAUGCAAAUAUUGAAACUAUUUGUGUAGAGCGUGUCACAGUGAUCUGGUGAGGCAGGCAGCACCACUACCUGCCUUUACAGAUGGAGAAGGCGAAGCUGAGGUCACCCCACCCAGGCCACGGGUCCCUGGUGCCCCCCCCGCUGCUGCGGCUGCUGGUGGCUCUCAGCUGCACCUUGCUCUGGCAGAUUGUUCCCAGUCCACACCCUCAGCCCACAGCUGACCCGUACAGGGUACAGUCGGGUCCCUUGUCUCCAGGUUCCAGGCAUCCUCCAGCGCUCCGAGGACCAGGUGAGGCUAGACCUCAGCCCGACUCCUUCCCCACCCUCCUCUGCCCCCUCACUCCCUGCUCUUUCCCCCCAAGGACACUCUCAGCAAGGAUCCCGGGCCCAGGCUCUGCUUCUUGGCGAGUUGGCCUAAGACAUUGACGGAGGUGGCGAAGCAACUGGCUCCCCGGAGGCCCAGCUGGUGGGUGGGAGCCUCGCCGUCUUCAAUGUCUGACUCGAAAUCUACACGCAGACGCCCUCGGUUCCUGCUUCUCACGGGCAAAGCUUAUUCCAAGGGUCAGGGACACGAAUCCGACAACCGACCCUACGCCGAGGCUCCCUAAUGCUGUGCAAUCACCCGGAUGCCGCCAGCACGGCCGAGCGUCACGGGAGCCUGGACUCCGAGGUGGCCACCAGACGAUUCUAAAUUACACACGUGGCUCACAUUCCACUUUUAUUGGAUGGUGCUGAUCUACUCCGUCCUGGGAGUGAGCUAGGCUAUCACUGGAGAGCAAACUUCAUAAAAAGGUCAAUGUUGACACAAGGAGUUCUCAACAACCGUAGUCCAGCCAAGAUAGCACAUCUUUGAUUUACUAACUUGUUCUUUCAUUGUUUAUUCAAUCAUUCAUUCAAUCAACAAACAUCUUCAAACACCUGCUACCUACUGGGCACUGUCUCAAGCUCUGGAGCUCCUGGUGAAACAAAUCACAGUCCUUGCUCUCAGUCUUCCCCGAGCUCAGGAGGUCCGCCCAUCUCUUUUGUUCACUGGCAUUAACAUUUUAGCCUAUAUGCUUCGUCUCCUGCAAUCCUUAUUUACACUUCUGAGAGUAAGUUGCACGCACCCUGGCCUUUUGCCCUGAAAUGCUUCAGGGGUGUAUUUCCUUAGAACAGGGACGUUCUCUUACCUUAGUUCGGUUACUGACUUAGGUAAAUUUAGCCUUGACAGUAUUAUUUGAUCUAAUCUCCGGUUCGUAUUCCAAUUCUGGCAGUUUCAGCAAUUGACUCAAUAACACGCUUCAAAGCGGUUUUCCCUCCAGGACAGGAUCCAGCCACGGCCAGGCGGUGGAAUUAUUCUCCUGUCUCCCCAAGGUCCCGAGUCCCUCUGAAGCAGAGUUGUCUCUCCCAUCAUACAGCCACGGUGGAAGCUUUCCUUCGAGGUCUCCGCAGAGAUAAGCUGACCCAGCUCCACAACCAACUUUGGAGAAAAUCCGACCUCAUCUUGUAAAGCUGAAGAUGCCCAACCCCGGAGCCAUCCGUGCCAGUCCCAGGUUCACGUCCCUCAGAUGCGCCCCUGCACACGCAGGACAGCAUCCCUCACGGCAUUGUCUGCAAUGCCCCAAACCCGAAACAACCAAAUUCCCAGCAACCGGGUAACGGAUGCAGAAGCUCGGCUGCAGUGCCCCGCGGAAAGCUCUUCAGCAGCGAAACGAAGGGCUGCCGCUCUGCCUGCGAAAGUGAAUUAACCUCAGAAAGACAACAGAAAAAAGGGCAAAGUCCAGAGUAAUACAGACAAAUAAGGUUCACAAACGUGCAUUAUGUAGUUUGGUGACAUAGAUGUUAUUAUAUAUAUAAAAAAUAUACAUUAGGGGCUGGUCCCGUGGCCGAGUGGUUAGGUUCUCGUGCUCUGCUGGGGCGGCCCAGGGUUCGGAUCCCGGGCGUGGACAUGGCACUGCUCGUCAGGCCACGUUGAGGCGGCGUCCCACAUGCCACAACUAGAAGGACCCACAACUAGAAUAUACAACUAUGUACGGGGGAGUUUGGGGAAAUAAAGCAGAAAAAAUAUUAUAUAUACACUUUAAAUAUAUAUUGUACGUAUACUAAAUAUAUAGAGUUUAUCAUGCCCUUGUUAUCUUUAUAGAUUUAUAAUUUUAUUAUAUAUGUAUAGUAUUUUUACUGUAUAGAGUAUAAAUAUAACUUUUUCUUUUUGAGGAAGACUGGCCCUGAGCUCACAUCCAUGCCCAUCCUCCUCUACUUUAUAUGUGGGACACCUACCACAGCAUGGCUUGACAAGUGGUGCCAGGUCCACACCCAGGAUCCGAACCGAUGAACCCCGGGCCACCGAAGCGGAACGUGUGCACUGAACCGCUGCACGACCAGGCUGGCCCCUAUAAUUUAUAUUAUAUAUAAACUUAUAUAUUAUAAUAUCUAAAUAUAUGUUUACUAUAUAUAGUAUUUUAUCUCUAUAUGUUUACUCUAUAUUUAUCUAUAUAUAUUUAUUAUACAUAGUAUUUUAUCUAUACAUAGUAUUUCAUCUCUAUAUAUUUUAUAAAAAUACUUUAAAUACUAUAAAUACUAUAAUAUAUAAAAUUAUUUAUAUAAUAAUUUUCGUAUUUAUAUAAUAAAUACUAUAUGAAUAUAGAUAAAAUCCUACAUGUAAAGUACUAUAUAUAUAGUAAAAUUAUAAAUCUAUAAAGAAAGAUAGGAGCAUGAUAAACAUAAAAUGUAUUGCCAUUUCUAGACAGUUCAAAACGUUUUAAAACUCAGAGUCGCUGGUGUGUGGACCCCCAGGCGGGCGGCUGUGGAACACCAGCACCCUGAGGACCACAGUCUGAGAACCGCCAGGCUGGCAGCUGUCUAGGUUCUGCCCCCUGGGGUUCUGUUCCUUCCAACUUGAUGGAAAAACCGCAAAAAAAAUGCAAAUCUGUUCUAACAACCUAGCCUCUCUUCAAAGUAUAUACACACAGCAAUUCUGCAAAUACAAACUUGGAU